AUUGAACGCUGGCGGCAGACCUAACACAUGCAAGUCGAGCGAGCGGCGGACGGGUGAGUAAUGUAUGGGGACUGCCCGAUAGAGGGGGAUAACUACUGGACACGGUGGCUAAUACCGCAUACUAUCGGAUAACCCAUAUGGGAUUCGCUAGUAGGUGGGGUAAAGGCUCACCUAGGCAACGAUCUCUAGCUGGUCGUAGAGGAUGAUCAGCCAAACUGGGACUGAGACACGGCCCAGACUCCUACGGAGGAAGCAGGGGGGAAGAUUGCAAAAUGGGCGCAAGCCGGAUGCAGCCAGGCCGCGUGUAUGAAGAAGGCCUUAGGGUUGUAAAGUACUUUCAGCGGGGAGGCGUGACCCGAAGAAGAAGCACCGGCUAACUCCGUGCCAGCAGCCGCGGUAAUU
rnacentral:rRNA from 1 species